rnacentral:tRNA from 1 species
GGUCUUAUAGGGUAGUGGUUAUCCUUCCAGCUUGUCACGCUGGAGACACGAGUUCGAUUCUCGUUAAGACCG